AUGAUGUUGUCGGUCGGGUGUCCUCUACUACUGAAGUUUUACCACCAUCUGGUGGCGCUUGAGAGCAGGGAUGGCAUACUUUCAUCAGCAGCGGCCAAACCCCCAGCGCCGCUGGUGCUGUACACCCCUGUACCCCUCGACAUCCAGUGCCUCGCGUCUGCCCAGCAUGAACACCUCCUCAAUAUGUUUUCAGUGGCAAGAUUUUUGUACAAUUACAGUGGCAGAUUUCAGAAAUUUGUUGAGCACACGAUUUACAAGAACAAGAUAUUCUGUCAAGCCAUGGAUAUCAACAAUCAGCCAAGCAAAGAAAUAUUCAUGGGAGAUAUACAGGGAUCCACAAGAAUGUGCACCGUAUGGCACUACCCUUUUGUCAUCGAGCCACUAUCACAUUUUGGUCAGCAAUCAAUUCAAUCAAUUCUCAGUGCAAUUAGUCAGAAGUUGGAAUUUACAUCUAAACGAACAGUACAUACAUCAAGCAACAGAAGAAAGAGUGGUCAUCUCUUUUUCUUGGCACCAAGAUGCCAUAUAAGCAUUCAGACUUCGGAAUCGCACAAGCAGUUUGUAUAUAAAUGA
rnacentral:rRNA from 1 species